rnacentral:rRNA from 1 species
CGCAGCGAAAUGCGAUACUUGGUGUGAAUUGCAGAAUCCCGUGAACCAUCGAGUCUUUGAACGCAAGUUGCGCCCGAGGCCUCGGCCGAGGGCACGUCUGCCUGGGUGUCACGCAC